rnacentral:rRNA from 1 species
GAUGAACGCUGGCGGCGUGCCUAAUACAUGCAAGUCGAGCGAACAGAUGAGGAGCUUGCUCCUCUGACGUUAGCGGCGGACGGGUGAGUAACACGUGGAUAACCUACCUAUAAGACUGGGAUAACUUCGGGAAACCGGAGCUAAUACCGGAUAAUAUAUUGAACCGCAUGGUUCAAUAGUGAGAGACGGUUUUGCUGUCACUUAUAGAUGGAUCCGCGCCGCAUUAGCUAGUUGGUAAGGUAACGGCUUACCAAGGCAACGAUGCGUAGCCGACCUGAGAGGGUGAUCGGCCACACUGGAACUGAGACACGGUCCAGACUCCUACGGGAGGCAGCAGUAGGGAAUCUUCCGCAAUGGGCGAAAGCCUGACGGAGCAACGCCGCGCGAGUGAUGAAGGUCUUCGGAUCGUAAAACUCUGUUAUUAGGGAAGAACAAAUGUGUAAGUAACUAUGCACGUCUUGACGGUACCUAAUCAGAAAGCCACGGCUAACUACGUG